rnacentral:tRNA from 1 species
CAGGGCGUAGCUCAAGCGCGUCAGAGCGCCCGCUUUGAGGCGGGAGGUUGCGGGUUCAGAUCCUGCCGCCCUGA